AACACGUUCCCUUUUUAGUCAUGUUUAUCUCUUUUAUCAUGCGACUUUCCUCUUCAACAAAGAUGGCAAAACACAAACUCCCUUGUUCAUGUUAGAGGACAACAGACAGACGAUGGUUAUCAGUAUUCUCUUUCCCUUUUCUGGCACAGUCUCUCUUUAGUCUUCUCCCUCUCUUUCCUGGCACAAUUCGAGGCGGUUUGAGUUAUCUCGUCUUUUUCCGAUGAGGUCACCAUUGUGUGUGCGUUUUCUGGUGAGAUUGGCGCCUGCAUCACGGUGCCUCGAAGUAUGUCAUCAAAAUAGCGACUUGUGCUAGUGUGAAGCCAUAAUGAAUCUUGAAGAAAAAUUGGGGUGAAAGAGACUCACCCCUCUACUUAAAUUCAAAGGAAGACGUGGUGGGGGAAAUCAUGGGCGUUUGAUUCUUGAGAAAACGCACACAUGGAUGGUAUUGGAAAAACGAAAUUUCCACCUGUUAUGGCUCCCCUUUUUGUUUUUCUAGCAUAAUGAAAUAAAAUUAUCAUUUUGGAUGUGAGCGUCUAACUAAACCCCGCGCACACGUCAAACGCUGGUACUAUAUCUAUAGGGGAAACCAAAAAGGUUGUAUACAAAAUUAUCUUAAUUGGCCAUAAUAUCAGAGGUGUGAUUGCAACACUUUUGUUCCCUUUUGUAGCCUUUGAUGCACACUCAAAGUCUAGGAUAGAAGGUGGACCAAGACCGUGACAAUUUUUUAAUGUGCAGAUGUGAAAGCCCUUUCUGCCAUUUUGAACAACUAUUUUUGCUUAUUCAACUUUUAUCUGUUUUCACUGAAUGAUCUUUUUAAAA